UGGAAUAUAGCUCAAAUGGUUGGAGCAUCUGACUGAUAUUCAGAAGGGUGUAGGUUCGAGUCCUACUAUUCCAA
rnacentral:tRNA from 1 species